rnacentral:rRNA from 1 species
GGAAUCUUCCACAAUGGACGAAAGUCUGAUGGAGCAACGCCGCGUGAGUGAAGAAGGGUUUCGGCUCGUAAAACUCUGUUGUAAGAGAAGAAUGACAUUGAGAGUAACUGUUCAAUGUGUGACGGUAUCUUACCAGAAGGGAACGGCUAAAUACGUGUCAG